rnacentral:rRNA from 1 species
UACGGAGGAUGCAAGCGUUAUCCGGAAUCACUGGGCGUAAAGCGUCUGUAGGUGGUUUAAUAAGUCAACUGUUAAAUCUUGAGGCUCAACCUCAAAAUCGCAGUCGAAACUAUUAGGCUAGAGUAUAGGAGGGGUAAAGGGAAUUUCCAGUGGAGCGGUGAAAUGCGUAGAGAUUGGAAAGAACACCAAUGGCGAAGGCACUUUACUGGGCUAUUACUAACACUCAGAGACGAAAGCUAGGGUAGCAAAUGGG